GCCUUAGUGGUGUAGUGGUCAACACGCUGGGCACAUAUUCCAGAGGUCCGUGGUUCGAGUCCCAGCGAAGGCG
rnacentral:tRNA from 1 species